rnacentral:rRNA from 1 species
UACGUGGGGGGCAAGCGUUGUUCGGAAUUACUGGGCGUAAAGGGUGCGUAGGUGGUCAACUAAGUCAGACGUGAAAUCCCUCAGCUUAACUGGGGAACUGCGUCUGAUACUGGAUGGCUUGAGUUUGGGAGAGGGAUGCGGAAUUCCAGGUGUAGCGGUGAAAUGCGUAGAUAUCUGGAGGAACACCGGUGGCGAAGGCAGCAUCCUGGACCAACACUGACACUGAGGAGCGAAAGCCAGGGGAGCAAACGGG